CGAUAAGAGGAACCGUUGAAUUUACUUUUAAACGGUGGCACAGAAUCGGAGGCCCCGACUGUUUACUAAAAACACAAUUCAGAGCAAUGAUUAAGAUAGUAGUAUUCUGAAUGAAAUUUGCCCAAUGCCAUUAAUAUAAGAGAGGUAAUUACAAGGUUACUAAUCGAAAGUCUGGUUAAUAGCGGUCUUAACUAUGAGGAUCCAAAGGUAGCAAAAUCAGUUGGCCAUUAAAUGUGGUCUGGUAUCAAUAGUGUAACGAUGGUCUCACUGUCUCUACAACUUGCUCAGUGAAAUUGAAUUACCCGUGCAGAUGCGGGUUGCCUCCAGGUGGACGGGAAGACCCUAUGCAGCUUU
rnacentral:rRNA from 1 species